rnacentral:rRNA from 1 species
GGCGGCGUGCUUAACACAUGCAAGUCGAACGAUGAAGCCGCUUCGGUGUGGAUUAGUGGCGAACGGGUGAGUAACACGUGGGCAAUCUGCCCUUCACUCUGGGACAAGCCCUGGAAACGGGGUCUAAUACCGGAUACCACUCCGUCCCGCAUGGGACGGGGUUGAAAGCUCCGGCGGUGAAGGAUGAGCCCGCGGCCUAUCAGCUUGUUGGUGGGGUGAUGGCCUACCAAGGCGACGACGGGUAGCCGGCCUGAGAGGGCGACCGGCCACACUGGGACUGAGACACGGCCCAGACUCCUACGGGAGGCAGCAGUGGGGAAUAUUGCACAAUGGGCGAAAGCCUGAUGCAGCGACGCCGCGUGAGGGAUGACGGCCUUCGGGUUGUAAACCUCUUUCAGCAGGGAAGAAGCGAAAGUGACGGUACCUGCAGAAGAAGCGCCGGCUAACUACGUGCCAGCAGCCGCGGUAAUACGUAGGGCGCAAGCGUUGUCCGGAAUUAUUGGGCGUAAAGAGCUCGUAGGCGGCUUGUCGCGUCGGUUGUGAAAGCCCGGGGCUUAACCCCGGGUCUGCAGUCGAUACGGGCAGGCUAGAGUGUGGUAGGGGAGAUCGGAAUUCCUGGUGUAGCGGUGAAAUGCGCAGAUAUCAGGAGGAACACCGGUGGCGAAGGCGGAUCUCUGGGCCAUUACUGACGCUGAGGAGCGAAAGCGUGGGGAGCGAACAGGAUUAGAUACCCUGGUAGUCCACGCCGUAAACGUUGGGAACUAGGUGUUGGCGACAUUCCACGUCGUCGGUGCCGCAGCUAACGCAUUAAGUUCCCCGCCUGGGGAGUACGGCCGC